CCUACGGGUGGCAGCAGUGGGGAAUAUUGGACAAUGGGCGAAAGCCUGAUCCAGCCAUGCCGCGUGAGUGAUGAAGGCCUUAGGGUUGUAAAGCUCUUUUACCCGGGAAGAUAAUGACUGUACCGGGAGAAUAAGCCCCGGCUAACUUCGUGCCAGCAGCCGCGGUAAUACGAAGGGGGCUAGCGUUGUUCGGAAUCACUGGGCGUAAAGCGCUCGUAGGCGGAUCUUUAAGUCAGAGGUGAAAUCCCAAGGCUCAACCUUGGAACUGCCUUUGAUACUGGGGAUCUCGAGUCCGGGAGAGGUGAGUGGAACUGCGAGUGUAGAGGUGAAAUUCGUAGAUAUUCGCAAGAACACCAGUGGCGAAGGCGGCUCACUGGCCCGGUACUGACGCUGAGGAGCGAAAGCGUGGGGAGCAAACAGGAUUAGAUACCCUGGUAGUC
rnacentral:rRNA from 1 species